rnacentral:rRNA from 1 species
UACGGAGGGUGCAAACGUUGCUCGGAAUUAUUGGGCGUAAAGCGCACGUAGGCGGUCCGCUAAGUCGGGUGUGAAAUCCCUCGGCUUAACCGAGGAAGUGCAUUCGAAACUGGCGGGCUUGAGUACUGAAGAGGGUCGCGGAAUUCCCGGUGUAGAGGUGAAAUUCGUAGAUAUCAGGAAGAACACCCGUGGCGAAGGCGGCUACUCUGGAACGCAACUGACGCUGAGACGCGAAAGCGUGGGGAGCAAACAGG